UAAUACCUGAACCCAGAAAGUUGAUGAAAAUGUAAUAUUUUAUUAAUAAAACUUCUAACCAAAACUUGUUGGUAGCAGAAUAAUAGGAUUGUUUUGUGCAUCCAUACUUUCCGACAACCAGUAUUUGUACUCUUUUGAUAUUUCACCUCCAACAUAGGAUUUUGAAACUGUUUGCAAACAUUAAUCUUUUAGCAAUGCACUUCAGUAAAUAUGUACUAUAUCACCUCUGAUUCUACUGUACUUCAGGUUUCUGUCACCAUCGUGAAGAUUGUAACAAAACUAGAUGUAUCAUCACCCUAGAACAUUUGAGCCAUAAUCUUGAAAGAGGUCAGAGUAAAGUAUUAGAGGCACCAAAGCUGUGCGGGUUACAAGGUGGAAGGUGCUGCCUGUCCUGGGAGGAAAUUUCCCACGUUCAUGUAAUUGGAAACACUUUCCACUUAGCACUGGUUUCCAAAGUACUGAACUCAAUCCUAAGAAACAUCAGUUCAUUGAAAACAAUAAAAAGAAUUUAAAAAAUGUAAACAACACAAUCUUCCUAUCCUAAAUGAUUUCUUUUAAGCCAUUAGGACACAUUUAUCUCACUUUAUCAUGUGUUUUUUUUUACCCAUAGUUUAGAAGGGGAUCGUGUGCUCCCUGUUCUCUGCAUAUAAAUAGAAAAUCAUGGGUCUCCAGGAGCUGGCACUUCAGAAAAAAAUACACAAAUACAGGAGAUGGGCAAAUACUACACAUUACAGCUCCACUUCUGUUGGGCUUGCAACCCCAGAUGCUACUAUAAACAAUUUAAUUUCUGUCAAGCUCGUGACCCCACUUGUAACUUCCAUGACCCCACUUCUGGCCAUGACUUUUAGGCUGAGAACUGCUGCUGGAGAUAUCUGACUGUUUAUUUCAAACACCAUGCUCAGAGUCACUAGCUUCCCCCCGACAGAUGAAAACAUCAGGAGUCUGACUCCAAGAAACUUGUGAGACAAAAGAUUUUGAAAUAUGAUCAUUUAAAGCCUCAUCUUUAAGGCUAUCUCUCCGUUCUAACACCUCCUCCCCUUCUGCAGAACACAUGCAUGACCAUUAGAGCCCUACAAAAGCGAUCUCUGGAAAAGCUCUAGUGGAAAAAAAAAAAAAAAGUGGCAGAAGUUGCAUGCUAUCUGUUGAGAGCCCAGCUUUUCAUGUAGAAACUCCUGGUGAUUUAUGCCAGCCCAACCCACCCCAGCCCUUCCCACUCCUGGGCAGUGUGGGGGCUGUUCUUGGUUGCCCUCUUGCAACCUCUUGGGUGGUAGCGAGGAAGGCAGCAGCCCAGCUUGCCCCCAGCUUGCAGAGGUGGUGGUGGUGCAGGGCAGGAGCCAGCACACAGCUGGGGCAGCCUCCCCAGGAGCAGUCAGUCUGGCGCUCAUUAGAACCACAGUCCAACACUGUAGCUUGCUUGAGGGGCGUGUGGCCCUCAGUGUUUCUUUAUGAAGCGUAAAGAAAUCCUGAAAUGAUAUUUUCCUUUUAGUAGGAGAAAUUCAGGUGUUGUCUGGCUUGGAAAUCUCCAUGGCAACCGGGGAGAAAGGGGAAACAAUGACAUUAUAAGAGCCAAGAGAGUGAAAGUUGAGCAACUGAGAACCAUUAGUGGCGUUGCCAGCUCUAGCAGUUUUCCUUACAGAUUGCAGACCUUCUGAAGGUUUUGCAAGGAUGAACUGUGUCUGUAGGAAGAGCUCCCCUGACUGGUUGCUCCCAGUCUCCAACCUGCCCCCUGGGAAAGUCACCCAGAUGGGCUGCAGUUGCAUCCCUCUAAAGGACCAGGCACCUGGGAUUUGCUUGCUGCCUGCCCAAUUCCCUGCUCAGCACUUCACAAGAGAUAGGUGCACUGACAGGAGGCUUGCAAAAAGAAGAGCUAAAGGGAGAGCAGAAGCUAAGUGAGCUGUCCAGUGAAUUAAUACCGCUACGUCAAAGUGUGUUUGCAGGAAGGAUAGGUGGGUAAUCAAUUUUGGAUGCUGCAGGGAUGAUGGAUUUUAUGCACAGAAAAUAAUGCAUAUUUAGAUGCAUAAUUAUGUCUGCAUGUAGGGCUGGAGGAGUUCCUUGGAAUGCAAUGUCUAGCUCGUUCGGUGCUAUGGGCUUGAAAUUAACUGUAGGACAGGAAAGUGUUACAGAAACAGAUAACCCCUCCCUAAUGCCUGUGCACAGCAGCACUGACCUGGAGUUCGGGGUAGGUGAGAGUGGGAGAAAACCAAUGAAUGGUUUCUCUGUGGUAGAGCACACUUUGCUAAUUACUUCUUACAAUUGUGCUGUGAAGAACCCUGUUUAAGCACAUAAACACAGUUCUGACCUAUUAUUUCAGGGACUUAAUUUUGAGUGGUAGUCACCAGGUCUGAUCACUGCCUUGUCCUUGUACAAUGGUGAGUUAUUCUGACUUGCUUCACCUGCACUGGUUUAUAGCUGUCUCUUUGUUUUGCUGAUUAAGGAAGUAUGUAUGGAAUGGCAAUGAAUUAAAGGUGGAAGAAAAGUCUGACAGUGUAAGUUUGUGGCACAAACCACAUAAAUGGAGUUAUAAGUUAAUUCUGAAAAAUCUUCCCUUGCUUUUCCCUAGGUAUUUCACAGUUGCUCUGUGUGUUAACAUGUUCCACACAGGGGUCAGCAGAAGUUAACCAUAAUGAGGUAAUUACAAGGUACAUUGAGUACGGAUGUAUGUUAAGGGACAUACAUUAAGGAUGUAGACUAAUGGUGCUACAGUGACAGCAAGCUCAAGACUUGCAGUAAUGCUCAGCAUAUUGAAUGCCACUGUGUUUUCUUAAUAGACUUUAUCAGCUUUGGCUUUCCGUAUUACUGUACGCAUUACCAUGUAUAGAUCUAUCUCUCCGUGUGGAAAAUAAUGACAGAUAUCAAAAAACGGAUAUCAAUUAAUGAUGUGGAACAUGUAAGAGGCGUCUUUGUAUUAUUUAGCCCAAGUCUUCUUCUGUAGCUUUAAAACGACCCAGUGGCUGUUAAAAUGCGAAAAUACACUUUCAUAUAUAUUGUGUGAGUAUGUGAUUUUGGAAAACAGAGGAAGCAAAGGAAAGCUGGUCAGGUGAAACAGCUGCCCUAGCUGCAGAGGAGAGGAAUCACGUGUGAAAGGAGAGCGAAGACAAAACACGUGCUGACAUCAGGAGCGCAGCUCUUGUAAAUACCUGAGCAACCUGUACUGAGGCAUACAGCAGCAAGCAGCUCAGCGCAGAUGGGCAAGUUUGCUCCAGGCUCACUGAGGGGCUACCAUGGGUGGUAACCUGGGCACAGCAGCGCACUGCUGUGAUACCACCACUAGCAGCACCUGUGCUGGUAACUUCAACACAGUCCCUGAGCUGGAUCCUGCAGCACAGGCAGUGCUAAGGGCAAACUCUGCAUUUUAUGUUGAAGACAAUGAGGAACCUCACUGGAUGUCAGGUUUUAAACACCGACGUGUGUUCGGUCGAUGGAUGGUUAAGUAUCAGAAGUCUGGGGAUGCUGCACAUUUACAAGAAGAUGUGUUAAUAUAGGAAGUCACAUGCCUAAGAAGGGUAGAAAAAUUAUUAAAGAGCUUAACAAAAAAAAGUCCUAUGCAUCAAAAGAAGGUGCAGCAGAAAAAAAAAAAAAAGCUUGUGAACACCAAAUUAAACAACUGUCCAGACUGAAGACGCAUUUUGAUUGAGCUCUUAAUUUAGGUAUAGGCUUGACUUCACAACUCAAUCAUUUAAAAUGGUGGUAUUUUUAUCUUCAGUAAUAUGUUUAUGUAAUACACAUUGUGUAUGACACCCCACUUCCAACUGACUCCCUGCAGGAAGAACGCCUCUUCCGCUAACACAACGCGCAGCACGGUUCUGUGCGCCGGGUACCCGCUCUGACCCACAGCCAGCUAGCAAGCAUGCGCACGCACAGUGGAUACCGUACUGUAUAACAAGGGAUGUGGGAAUCAUGGAGCUUACAGGAGUUAGAAAGCCAGGCUGAAGAGCUGGACAGCACUGAGGUCUGAAGAAACCAAAAUGAACAUAAUAAAAAAGCCUGUAUUGGUGGCAGCUAUUGUUAAGAUUAUGCCCAUAAGGGUUCAUCAAGACUCACUGAAGGACUCUCCCUUCCUCAGGCCCCAGAAAAGUCUCUCUGAUGGAGAGAUGGGACAACUUGGGAGGUCCGUGUGAAGAACUGCAUUUUGCUGGAUACUCCUGCUGUUAGCAAAUUGCUCCAAUGGGAGGACCAGGCAACUAACUCCAUCAACCUACUAGAAUGGAUUCUCUAUUUUAUAGAGACAGAUCCUCUGAGUUAACCCAUCUGUUAGAGCGUAAAAAAUGAGAGAAGACAGAGCACAUACUACAUGGAGAGAGCAAACAGAGGCGAACGGGUAAGGUUUUGUUGGUAUCAACAAAGGUUAGUACCUCACUCCUUCACUCUACAUUGAUUUUCAUGCUUUCCCUGUCUCGCUUCACUGAUUCUAAUUCUGAUUUUGUAAACAUAAACCAGUCAAAAAUUUCCACAGGGAACAAACAAAGAACUCCUUGCAGAUUAUCGCCAGGAUUGUGGAAGGGAAAAAAUACAUAUAUAUACACAACCCCACAAAGAAUUCUCAAGAGACCCUCAUCAAUGUUUGGAUUUAACCUAAGCUCCAUGAAAUAUGAACCCACUGCUCUUUACUGCUACC